rnacentral:rRNA from 1 species
UACGGGGGGGGGCAAGCGUUGUUCGGAAUUACUGGGCGUAAAGGGCUCGUAGGCGGCCAACUAAGUCAGACGUGAAAUCCCCAGGCUUAACCUGGGAACUGCGUCUGAUACUGGAUGGCUUGAAUUCGGGAGAGGGAUGCAGAAUUCCAGGUGUAGCGGUGAAAUGCGUAGAUAUCAGAAGGAACGCCGGUGGCGAAAGCGACUCUCUGGCUCGUAUCUGACGCUGAUGCGCGAAAGCUUGGGUAGCAAACGGG